rnacentral:rRNA from 1 species
GACGAACGCUGGCGGCGUGCCUAAUACAUGCAAGUAGAACGCUGAGGAGAGGAGCUUACUCUUCUUGGAUGAGUUGCGAACGGGUGAGUAACGCGUAGGUAACCUGCCUUGUAGCGGGGGAUAACUAUUUGAAACGAUAGCUAAUACCGCAUAACAAUGGAUGACACAUGUCAUUUAUUUGAAAGGGGCAAUUGCCCCACUACAAGAUGGACCUGCGUUGUAUUAGCUAGUAGGUGAGGUAAUGGCUCACCUAGGCGACGAUACAUAGCCGACCUGAGAGGGUGAGCGGCCACACUGGGACUGAGACACGGCCCAGACUACUACGGGAGGCAGCAGUAGGGAAUCUUCGGCAAUGGGGGCAACCCUGACCGAGCAACGCCGCGUGAGUGAAGAAGGUUUUCGGAUCGUAAAGCUCUGUUGUAAGUCAAGAACGGGUGUGAGAGUGGAAAGUUCACACUGUGACGGUAGCUUACCAGAAAGGGACGGCUAACUACGUG